rnacentral:rRNA from 1 species
AUUGAACGCUGGCGGCAGGCCUAACACAUGCAAGUCGAGCGGACGAAGGGAGCUUGCUCCUGGAUUCAGCGGCGGACGGGUGAGUAAUGCCUAGGAAUCUGCCUGGCAGUGGGGGAUAACGUCCGGACACGGGCGCUAAUACCGCAUACGUCCUGAGGGAGAAAGUGGGGGAUCUUUGGACCUCACGCUAUCUGAUGAGCCUAGGUCGGAUUAGCUAGUUGGUGGGGUAAAGGCCUACCAAGGCGACGAUCCGUAACUGAUCUGAGAGGAUGAUCAGUCACACUGGAACUGAGACACGGUCCAGACUCCUACGGGAGGCAGCAGUGGGGAAUAUUGGACAAUGGGCGAAAGCCUGAUCCAGCCAUGCCGCGUGUGUGAAGAAGGUCUUCGGAUUGUAAAGCACUUUAAGCUGGGAAGAAGGGCAGUAAGUUAAUACCUGGCUGUUUUGACGUUACCAACAGAAUAAGCACCGGCUAACUUCGUG